UACUUUCUAAAUCCCUUCUUCUUUCUAAAUCCAUUCAAAUUCUUUACAAUACCUCCGCGAUCAACAUAGACCUUGUCCUCAAGGUCAAGAACGAGCAAUAAAAUCUGGGAAUUGACCCUUGAUAAAGCCCCAAUCCUCCCGCGUUGCUUCGUCAAGUCCAAGAUUUGCCCACUGAAUCAACAACUUCACCUGAGCCGCGUUGUUGACUUUCACAUCUUACGGUCCAAUAUAGCCACUGGUUGGACUAGCACACGACCAGUGCCAUCACAAAUAGGGGGUUGCUGCAUAGGCGUUAUAGCAUGUCCUACUCUUUUCUUCAGCUGAGAGACAUGAAAUACAUGGUGUAUCUGUGAACUCGAAGGUAUCUCCAAACGGUACGCCACUGAGCCAAUCUUUUGUAAGAAUUUGUGAGGCCCAUAGUAUUUAGCACUUAGGUUCAAAUUCUUCCUUAUUGCUACUGAUGAUUGUCUGUAAGGCUGUAGCUUUAAGUAGACUAAAUCUCCCACUUCUAAAGUUCUCUCUAAUGUGUUUUUACCUGCAUAGAACUUCAUUCUCGCUUGAGCCUGAGUUAAAUUUUCCUUAAGUACUCCCAACAUCUGUUGCCUCUAAGCCAAAUACAUACCCACAGAUUGUGUGGUAUGGGGUAGGGAUCCCAUAGGAAUCUGUGGAGGUGGAAACCCAUAUAAUGAAUGAAAAGACGUAGACUUGAAUGAGCUGUGGUAGCUGGUAUUAUACCACCACUCUGCCAAGGGCAACCAUUUGCACCACUUCUUAGGACAAGAAAAAAUCAUAGACUUUAGAUAGCUCUCCAAGCAUCUGUUGAGUCGUUCAGUCUGUCCAUCUGACUGAGGAUGAUAAGUUGUGGUCAUGUUAAGCUUAGUACCCAGUGAUCUGAAUAGAUGCUGCCAAAAUAGACCGGUAAACACGGUGUCUCUAUCAAUCACAAUUGAUUUAGAGAGCCUAUGAAAUCUUUAGAUGUCCUGCAAGAAUAGUUCAGCUACCUCCUUAGCUAUAUAAGGAUGCUUCAAGGCUAGGAAGUGACCAUAUUUAGUUAACCUGUCAAUGAUCACUAGUAUCACAUCUUUGUGAUCAGAAGAGGGUAACCUCUUUAUGAAAUCCAUGGAGAUAUCAUGCCAAGGCAUUUUUGGAAUAGGAAGAGGUUGUAAUAGUCCUGUUGAAGGGACAUUUUCACUUUUUACCCUCUGACAUGUAUCACAUUCAGCCAUCCAUUUAGAAAUCUCAGUCUUCUUAGGCCAAUAAAAACUUAUUCUGAUUCUCUUAUAAGUCCCUAGUUGACCAGAGUGGCCCCCAAUGGAGACUGAUGACUUCAAAUAUUUUCAAUCUCAUACCAGCUCCUCUCUUAAUCCAAAUCUUUUGGUCAUACCUGAUAAUGCCCUGCUGAAGGGUCUCACCUAAAGGAUCUGUGAUUAACUCCAGUAAUAGUUGUUGGGCUACAGGGUCAUGGUUAUAGCUUUGAACUACAUCUUGUAUCCAAGUGGGUUCUACAGUAGUAAGGGCACACAACAUAGGUUCCUCCUUUUCUCUUCUUGACAGAGCAUCAGCAACUCUGUUCUCAUCACCUUUCUUGUACUGGACUUCAUAGUCCAAACCCAAUAGUUUAGUGAGGCCUUUUUGCUGAAGAGCAAUAGUAAUCUUUUUCUCUAAUAAGUACUUGAGGCUUUGGUGGUCUGUCCUAAUAAUGAAGUGUCCCCCCAUCAAAUAAUGCCUCCACCUAUCAACCGCAGUCAACAUAGCCAAAUACUCCUUCUCAUAGGUUGAUAAUCCCCUGUUAUUCUGAGAUAAAGCCUUGCUGAAAUAUGGCAAUGGCAUGCCCUCCUGCAACAGCACUGCUCCCAUUCCAGUGGAACAAGCAUCAAUUUCCACAACAAAGGGUUUGGUGAAAUCAGCUAAAGCUAAUACUGGAGCUGAUGACAUAACUGAGUUGAGCUGUUGGAAGGCUAUCUCUGCUUCUUCUAACCACUGAAAAGAGUUCUUCUUGAGAAGGUUUGUUAGACGUCUACAGAUAACUCCAUAAGACCUCACAAAUCUCCUAUUGUAGCCUGCGAGACCCAAAAAUCCCCUUAGAUGCUUGAUAGUUUUUGGUCUAGGCCAAUUAACCAUGUCUUCAGUUUUGGAAGGGUCAGUAGCUACACCCUCUCCUGAAAUGAUAAGCCCCAAUUAUUCCACCUUUUUCUGUCCAAAUGAGCAUUUGGACAGCUUAGCAUACAACUUUUCUUUUCUCAGAAUCUCCAGAACCUUCUUGAGAUGAACUGUGUGUACAUAGUUGUUUGGGCUGUAUACUAAAAUAUCAUCACAGAAAACUAGUACAAACUUUUCGAGGAAUAGUUGAAAAAUGUGAUUCAUGAGACUCCGAAAGGUAGCAGGGGCAUUGGUUAGACCAAAAGGCAUGACUCUAAACUCAUAGUGCCCCAAAUGUGUUCUAAAAGCAGUUUUAUAUAUAUCCUCCUCACCCAUUGUAAUCUAAUGAUACCAAGUCCUAAGAUCAAUUUUAGAGUAGACACAAGAACCAGUUAAUUCAUCCAUUAAGUCAUCCACUAAUGGUAUAUGAAACUUAUCCUUAACUGUCAAAUUGUUAAGUUCCCUGUAGUCUAUACAAAACCUCCAACUACCAUAUUUCUUUUUGACCAAUAACACUUGGGAAGAGAAAGAGGAAUGACUGGGCUGUAUUAUACCACUAGUUAACAUUUCAUUAAUUUGUUUCUCAAUCUCAUUUUUCUGGAAAUAGCUAGACAUGUAAGGCCUCAAGCUGACUGGAUUUGCAUUGCUUUUCAGGGGAAUAUGAUGAUCAUGUCCUCUUUUUGGUGGAAGAGAUUUGGGUUUAGCAAAUACAUCAUUGAAGUCUGUCAGUACUUCAGAAAUUUCUGCAGGCAACUCCUCUGAUCUUGGUAUCUCCUGGGCUGAAAUGGUGAAUAAGUGUGCCCAUAGCUUUCCUUUCUUCAGUAGCUAUUUCACACCUAUUGUUGUCAUGCUUUUCAAUUCUCCAUGACUGUAGAUACACUUAAGUUCCACCCUCUUACCCUUGUGUGUCACCUGGACCUUGUACUCAAUGAAGUCUAAGAGUACAGGGUUGUGGCCUUUCAUCCAAUCUCCCCCUAGUAUCAUAUCAUUUCCCCCUAGUCUGACCAGUCUCACAACAUCCUCAAAUUCUACCCCUUGUAUUCUCCACUUGAAUCUAGGACAAGAAUGUAAGCUGGUAAUGUGAUUCCCAUUUGCCACAGUCACUCUCAUAGGCACUGCCUCAAGAAUCUGACAACCUAUCUUCCUAGCAGUCUCUAGAUCUAGGAAGCUAUGAGUACUCCC
rnacentral:lncRNA from 1 species